GCAAAUGUCCUAGAGUACCGGGUAUAGGAAAUCCGGUACUCCAUGAGAUAGUUGUGACUCGUCAAAUCCGAGAUUAUUAUGUGUGUACUUGAGUUUACUUGCGUUACCAACCAUGAAUUUCCGGUCAUUGUCAUUCAUUGAGACAGAGACGUAAAAACAGAAUAGGUGAAGUGAUAGUUUGAAGUUGUAAGAAAACAAAUUUUCGCGUGGAAAGCAGAUAAAAUGUACGAUGGAUCAUUGGUGAAACAACAGAAUUGCUACGAGUGCUGCCCUUCAUACAGAGGCAAAUCUACAGUGUAAUCUAUGGUUUCGAGUGGCAAAACAAACAAGGUUUUGAGUGGCGAAACAAACAACAACAAACCCAGUAUAUUUCCACAUUGUAGGAUCCGGGAAGGAUAGAAUGUACGCAGUCCAGUAUACUGUUUCCUAUAAACCCCCAACUCCCGAGAUAGUAAACAAAAUAUAUACAAAAUGAUACAUACCAAUUUUUAACAAACGUCCAAUUUAAAAAACUAUCAACUCCCAAAAACCAAAUUAUUAAGAAACAAAUGUAAAAAUAUUGGAACUAGACUUGUCGGGGGCACUCUAAGAAAGAGGACCCCUCCAAAAAUCAGCAUAUGCCACUAGUUGCAGCACACACACGGUAUUCUUUAGUAAAAGGCGAAAGAGUAGUUCGUUAUGUGUUCACUGCGUGAAUUAAACGAAUAAAUUGUGUGGCCAUUUUAUAUUACGACAAACUUCGAAUAUACUUGUUCUUUAUCAAUGUGGUACUCUCCGCACUACUUUAAAAUAUUGAUCUCGGCGUUUUCCCCGCUUCACUUUCACCAGUGAGUCCUUCAAUAUUCUUAUGAUUGAAAAUCUAUCAUUAAACGACUUAAGGGUAGCUAAUCUACAUCACACCCCUUUGUUGUGGUCUUUCCUCGGACCAUAAUAAUGUGGAUGCUUUGGGUAUUGUGCACCGUGCUGCCCUUUUGAACAACUUAAGUUGCCCUGUACACUUUCUUGUUCGGUUAAUUUAUGAUAUGAUUUCACUCACAAGAUGAUCGAUAAAAUAUAGCAUGGGAUGUUUUGAACUGAGCAUCUUGAGUUAGCUGAAUUGCGUUUUUUAGUUUAUAGUGAAGGACUCAAUAAGCUAGGCGGGUUGAGCUGAAUUUGAGUGGGUCAAAAUGAGGUUGAGUUAAUAAAUGAGUAGGUUAUUGAUUCAACCGAAGGUUAAUUGAGCGGGUUAUCACUCCCUAGAAGAAGUCAAUGUUAAUGACCAAACUAAAAGAGUUUUGCUGAGAAAUCGAGACAGAGUUUAAAUCCGUCAACGCAAGAAAUGACGAAGAAAAGAAUGUGAUGGAAGCAUUAGUUGAUGCACAAUGCAGCCAACCAAUGUAUUUCGGGUCAAGUUAACCAGAGAGAAUCCGUUGUCUCGUUACAGUUGGUUCUCUCACCAAAAUGUUAAAACUUAUUGAAAUUGAGGGUUAAAAAUUAUUGAAAUUGAGGAUUUAUCGAAAACAACUUAUCUACUUGCAGGUAGAGAAAAGGUCUGCGUCCCACUUUGUGAGCCGAUACUCUCCCGGACCCCCACUUUGUGAGUUAACACCGGAUUGUUGUUGUUCUUUGAGUGUUUGACAAAGGAAGUUAUUAGGCAACAGACAUGCACAGGUCAUAGAGUAACCGAUACGGACAGUGGCGCUCGAGGAGAUAUUGAAUAGACUUAACUAUCAAACAACCCUUCAUAGGGCUGCCAUUUCAAGCCACAGGAAUAGUAAGUAGCCAAAAACAAGAAAUUUUUGUAUAAGAAAUGAAUAGGGGCCGCGCGAACACAGGCCCCCUCCACCACAAAUUAUGACGUAGGCUCGACCACUUGGGCCGACCUUAGGCAGGCACCCUUCCAAAGUGCAAUGAAAGUCACCAACCUAGGCCAUGGGUCAUACUGAUCGCCCAUUGACCCCAUCCAGGUAAGUAUGUUUUUUGUAGCUCCUUCCGAUUAUCUUAUAUCCCUCCAGAUCCUUGUUUUCCUUUGUGUCAAGAGAUGCGGGACAUUUUGCCCUUGAUUUUUUUCUUUUUUGGCAUUUAUAGAACCACAUAGACUUUUUCAGCAAAUUUGUGGUGACAAUCAAGAUACUAUCUUCCUUAUUAUAUCAAUGUGCUUACUUCUGGGAGUACUUUCUCUUGGAGGUUUGUUGAUGUGUCGUAACAAAAAGCUCAGCUUUCGGUAGAAAUGGAAGUUUCAUGGAUCUAACUUUGAGAUACUUCUCAUACGAAUAUAUGCUAAAAGUUACAGAAGGGUUCGAGGAAGACCUUGGAACAAAUUGAAUGACGGUAGGAUAUACUGGCAUGUAGUCCUAUAACAUUUUUAAUGCGACGUUUCAUCGAUCAUAUAUUUCUUGCUUAUGCAUAAUGAAUGUAACAAUUCAAUAUAUAACAAAUCCAUAUUAUUUCAGACACCAAGUACAAUUAACAAAUCCGUUAUCACAAAUUAUGGCAUAGGCUCGGCCACUUGGGCCAACCUUAAGCAGGCACCCCUCCAAAGAGCAAUGGAGGUCACCAACCUAGGCCAUGGUCUUAUUGAUCGCCCAUCGACCCCGUCCGGGUAAGUAUACUUAUAAAUCAUUUUUGCAACAUUUCUACUCAACAAAGAAAGCUUUGGUCACGGAUCAAUACCAGUUUUUGCAACAUUUCUACUCAACAAAGAAAGCUUUGGUCACGGAUCAAUACCAGUUUUUGCAACAUUUCUACUCAACAAAGAAAGCUUUGGUCACGGAUCAAUACCAGAUAUGGAGAGGGGCGCUCAUGGAGAUAUUGAAUGGACCGAUAUUCCCACCUUCUAUGACCUCGAAAAGGCAUGAAUCAACCGUUUUUCACAAGUAGGAAGAUGUUCUAUGAAUAUUCAUCGAUUGUUAACCUCCGGAGUGAAGAGACUAAAUAAACUUUGGGUUAUAAGAAGCAAUAAGUAUUGUUUCAAUAGACAAAAACAUCGGGUACAAGGAAACUCGCCAUCAAGAGAGCUUAAUGCAGAAGAAAUUGGCUAUGACAUUGAGCCACUCGUUGCAACUAAUUGCAGCGUGCACACCGUAUUCUUUAGUAAAAGGCAAAAGAAUAGAUCGCUCUGUGAUCACUGAGUGGCUGCGUGAGUUCUACUGUGCAACUGUGUUCACUUGUAUAUUGCAGCAAAGUUUGUAUUUACUAGUUGUCUUAUCAAUGUGGUAUAAAAUAUUGCUCUUUGCUUCUUUUUCACAGAUCAUCGGUCCAUCUCCAUCGAUGUCUUUAUGAUUGAAAUUCUAACAUGUUUUUUCAAAUUGAAACAAUUUAAGCUGUCCUGUUAUAUGCUUUCUAAGUUGAUUAAUUUAACAUAUGAUUUUGCUUUGGUUUCGUCGUGAUUAUGAUGAAAUAUAUGCCUUGGAGUAAUUGGUAAAGUUGUUGUCAUGUGACCAGGAGGUCACGGGUUCAAGCCUUGGAAACAGUCUCUGGCAGAAAUGCAAGUUAAGGCUGCGUACGAUACCCCCUUGUGGUGGGGCCUUUCCCUGGACACCGCGCAUAGCGGUAGCUUUAGUGCACCGAGCUGCCCUUUAAGCUUUUCGAUGAAAUGUUGUAUGAGGAUGUUUUGGACCGGGCAUCUUGAAUAGCUAAAUUCCUAUGCAGGUUGUGUUUUUAAGUGUAUAGUGAAGGACCCAAUAAAUUAGAGGUGUCAAAUUCGCGAAUUUAGCUGAAUUUGAGUGGGGUCGAAAUGAGACUGAGUUAAUAAAUGAGCACGUUACUGACUCAACCGAAAGUUACUUGAGCGGGUUAUCACCCCCUACAAGAAGUCAAUGUUAAUGACCAAACUAAAGUGUUUUGAUGAGAGAUUGGAACAAAGAGUUUCUAUCCAUCGACGCAAGAAAUGAUGAAGAAAAGAAUGUGAUGGAAGCAUUAGUUGAUGCACAAUGCAGCCAAGAAAUGUUUUUCGGUGAAGUUAAUCAGAGAGAAUCCGUUGUCUCGUUACAGUUAGUUCUCUCACAAAAAUGUUAAACUACUUUAAGUUAAAGGGUUUAUCGGAAACAGUUUCUCUACUUGCAAAGUAGGGGUGAAGUCUUACAGUUAGUUCUCUCACAAAAAUGUUAAACUACUUUAAGUUAAGGAUUUAUCGGAAACAGUUUCUCUACAUGCAAGGUAGACUUUAAGUUAAGGAUUUAUCGAAAACAGUUUCUCUACUUGGUAGGGGGUAAAGUCUACAUACUCUCUCCCAGACCAUUGUUGUUCUUCAAGUAUGUGACGAAGAAAGUUAAUAGGCAAUAGACAUGUUCACAAGUCAACAGUUUAUUUGAACCAUGUUAAGUUCUAAAUUGAACACAAGAUCAACAAUAAAUCCAAAUUUCAAACAAAGUACAAUAACUAACCAAAAACAAAAAAAAAAAUUGUAUAGGAAUUGGGUAGGGGCCGCGCGAACGCAGGCCCCCUCUACCACAAAUUAUGAUGUAGGCUCAACCACUUGGGCCGACCUUAGGUAGGCACCCUUCCAAAGUGCAAUGGAAGUCACCAACCUAGGCCAUGAGUCUUACUGAUCGCCCAUUGACCCCGUCCAGGUAAGUAUAUUUUUUGUUACUCCAUCGUAUUCUUUUAUAUCCAUCCUGAUCCUUGUUUUCCUUUGUGUCAGCGAUGCGGGACAUUUUGCCCAUGUUUCACCUCUUGCUUAUUUGCUAGUUUGUGGCAAAGAUACAAUCCUGCCAAGCUAUCUUCUCAUCGAUCGGAGAUCAAAAUUUUCCAGGGGAAGACUAACGAGAGUUACGCUUUGAAGGGAAAUAUUUACUUGGUAUAGUAAACUUGUCCAAGUGAAUAUAUAGAUGAGCAUUUUUUAUUUCUUCGAUUCGAAGUAUUGCCACAUCAUCUUUCUGGUGAACAACAGACAAGAAAGUAUAGCACCUGCGUAGAGAAAAAACAUUGAACUUGUCUGCUCAACUUACUUUAGCACUUAAACUAAACUUCUGUUUAUUUACUCCCUUAACAUUUUUGAAGUGUAUUAAUUUCAACCCUCAAAACUAAAUACCACUCUCACAAGGUAGAGUGGACUACACACGUACUAUGUCAUUGCCAAAUCUGUAUCAUGUCUUUGCCACGUAAGAAAUUAUAACUUUUUUUAAAAAAAAUUUUCUUCAUUCCCUCCCUCCCCUGCGCCCUCCUUCUUCAGAUCUCUCCCUCCACCCCCCACCCACCCUCUCUCCAUACCAUUUUCAACCCCCACCCCUGCCACGAAAUGCUUUCCCCUCCAUUUUUUUUUUCAUUUACUCCAUUAUCAUCAUUAGAUAACAACUAUAAAAACACCAAUUUAAGAUAAUUCCUCCAUUAAAAUACUAUUUCAACCUUUAAUUCGAACUUCUUCGAUGUUUUCUCCGACGAAAUCAAAGAUAACUCGAAUUAAUUAUGGGUAAACAAUUGGAAGUAGGAAUAUGAAAUUAAUUGAGGCAUUUGUUAUUUUUGGGGAAAGAGAUGGUAAUUUGAUUUUUUCAUAUUGCUGAUUAUUAAUCCAUUCUUCUUAAACUUUUUCUUAAAGUAAUCCUAGCAGUUUACAGUGAGCAAUGAUUAGGGUAAUCAUGACAAUGACUAGAGUAAUAAAAAAUAAAAUGUCACGCAUUAGAGUGAAAUAAAUACACUUUAAAGAUAUUAGAGAGAUUAAAUAAAUAGAAAUUUUGUUUAAGUGCUAAAAUAAAUUAUGUAAAAGGAAGUUAAAUAGGGCUAAAAUAAGUUGAGCUUAAAAUGAUGUCUUUUUUCCACCCGAAUAUUAUCCACAAAAUUUCUAACAUAACCAAAAAUCUCAUCUUGGCAUGCAUAAUGAAUGUAACAUUCAAUAAGUAACCAAAAACAAGUAAAGAUUGAUUCAAGAAAUUGGAUAGGAGCAAGCAGGCCCCCGCUAUACUACCACAAAUUAUGACAACCACUUAACCCAAUCUUAAAGCAGGCACCCCACCAAAUUAUGAAGGCUCAACCACUUGGGCCAGUCUUAAGCAGGAACCCCUCCAGAGAUCAAUGGAGGCCGCCGACCUAACACCAUGGGUCUUAUUGAUCACAAUGAAUAUUAUUCAAUGGCAAUGUAACAAAAUGUCGAAACAAAAUUAUUGGGGCAUUCUAAAGAACAGAACCCCUCCAAAAUUUGGAGUAUGCCCCUAAUUGCAACACACACGAUAUUCUUCAGUAAUAGGCCAAAGAAUACUUCGCUUUCUGCUCACUAGAUGGCUGCGUGAGGCUUCUGGCUCGUCUGUGCUUCCAUUUUAUUGGGACAAAGUUUGUAUUUGUUCAUUGUUUUAUCGAUGUGGUACUCACCUCACUCCUUUAAAAUAUUUCUCUUUGCUCCUUCCCCUUCUUAUUCAGUCCUUUAUAGUAAUUGAAAAUCUAACAUGGUUUUUCGAAUAGAAUGGACUUUAAGGGUAACAUAUUUACAUCACACCCCUUGGGGUGCGGCCCUUUCCCAGACCCUCCUACCGCGGGAUGCUUUGAACAUUGUCAUGUAUACUCUUUGUGAUUACAAGGAAAUAUAUGCUCACAAGGUGGGUAAAAUAUAGCAUGGGAUGUUUUGGACUGAGCAUCUUAAAUAGCUGAAUUGCAUUUUUUAGUGUAUAGUGAAGGACCCAAUAAGCUAGAGGUGUCAAAUUGGCGGGUUGAGCUGAAUUUGAGCGGGUCAAAAUGAGGUUGAGUUAAUAAAUGAGCUUGUUAUUGACUCAACCGAAAGUUACUUGAGCGGGUUAUCACCUAGAAGAAGUCACUGCUAAAGACCAAACUAAAGCAUUUUGAUAGAAAUCGAGACAAAAAGUUUCUAUCCGUCAAUGCUAAAAAUGAUGAAGAAAAAAGUGUGAUGGAAGCAUUCGUUGAUGCACAAUGCUGCUAAUCAAUGUUUUUCGGUCUAGUUAACCAGAGAGAAUCCGUUGUCUCGUUUCAGUUAUUUCUCUCACAAAAAUGUUAAAACUUCUUGAAAUUGAGGUUUAUCGGAAACAGUUUCUCUACUUCCAAGGUAGGGGUAAGGUCUGCGUACACUCUCCCAGACCUCCACCGGAUUGUUAAGGCCCACUUUGUGAGUUUACACCAGAUUGUUAAGGUAGGGGUAAGGUCUGCAUACACUCUCCCAGACCCCACUUUGUGAGUUUACACCGGAUUGUUGUUGUUCUUCGAGUGUUUGACAAGACCCCACCCAGACCCACUUUGUGACAUUACACUGGAUUGUUGUUGUUCUUAGAGUGUUUGACAAAGGAAGUUAUUAGGCAACAGACAUGCACAGGUCAUAGAGUACCCGAUAUGGACAGUGGCGCUCGAGGAGAUAUUGAAUAGAUUUGAGCUAUCAAACAACCCUUCAUAGGGCCGCCAUUUCAAGCACCAAGUAAAUUUAACCAAAAACAAGAAAUUUUUGUAUAAGAAUUGGGUAGGGACCGCGCGAACACAGGUCCCCUCUACCACAAAUUAUGACGUAGGCUCGACCACUUGGGCCGACCUUAGGUAGGCACCCUUCCAAAGUGCCAUGGAAGUCACCAACCUAGGCCAUGAGUCUUACUGAUCGCCCAUUGACCCCGUCCAGGUAAGUAUGUUUCUUGUUACUCCAUCGUAUUCUUUUAUAUCCAUCCUGAUCCUUGUUUUCCUUUGUGUCAGCGAUGCGGAACAUUUUGCCCUUGUUUUACCUCUUGCUUAUUUGCUAGUUUGUGGCAAAGAUACAAUAUUGCCAAGCUAUCUUUUCAUCGAUCGGAGAUCAAAAUUUUCAAGGGGAAAACUCAUGCGCGUUACGCUUUGAAGGGAAAUAUUUACUUGGUACUGUAAACUUAUCCAAGUGAAUAUAUAGAUGAGCAUUUUUUAUUUCUUCGAUUAGAAGUAUUGCCACAUCGUCGUUCUGGUGAACAACAGCCUAGAAGUUGUUCUUUCAAAGGGCAAUAUAGGUUCAUCGACAAGCUUUUAUCAUCGAGCAACACUCAAUUUCGAUGGUGUAUUUACUUUGUAUCAGCACCCCCAAAGAGCCUAAAGGUACUGGUACUGUUUGGUCUGCUCAAGAAGAUAUAUGUAUUUGUAUUCAUACACAAAUAGGCAGCGAAUCGGAGUGUGUGGAUAUAACAGUAUUUAUACACUAUAAAGAAAGACCAUUCUAUUGCUAUAAGCUCAAUAGUAUAGCACCAGAGUAUUAUUCACAAAGUUUCAACAUAACCAAAAAUCUCAUCUUGGUAUGCAUAAUGAAUGUAACAAUCCAAUAAGUAACCAAAAACAAGAAAAUUUUGUUUGAAAAUCGGGUAGGGGACUAUCACAAAUUAUGACGUAGGCUCGACCUUAAGCAAGCUGUAACAAUGGGGAAUCAUAUUGAUUAGGAGAACCAUAGUCAUAUACAUUGAAAUAAGAAUUCAUUGCAGAAACAAAAGGAAAAUAAAAAGGGAAGAUUCGAGAAUGCUAAAACUUUAGCUAAGAAAAUAAAAGACAACUUCAUAAGAUGAGUCCAAUUAGAUUAUAUUCCUCUUAUAUAGACAUCUUCCCGGGGUCUCAAAUGUAAUUUAACACCUUUGCACUACAAUUGACACCUUUGCGUGCAAUGGAGGUCACCAACCUAGGCUAUGGAUCCUAUUGAUCGCCCAUCAACCUAAUCCAGGUAAGUGUACUUAUUUUUUUUUGUCCUCUUCAUACAAUCAUGCUAGUCUUGGCCGGUAUUAACAUUACUAGUGAGAAAGAAUAGUUCACUCUGUGCUCACUGUUUGGCUGCUUGAAUUAUCUUUACUAGUCUGUGCUUCCCUUUUAUUGGGACAAAGUUUGUAUUUGUUCGUUGUUUUAUAGAUGUGGUAUUCACCUCACUUCUUUAAAAUAUUGCUCUCUGCUCCUUCCCUUUCUUAUUCACUCAUUUAUAGUAAUUGAAAAUCUUACUUGCUUUUUUGAGGGCAACACAUUUGCGUCACACCCCUUGUGAUGCGGCCCUUUCCCGGACCUUCCUACUGCAGUAUUCUUUGAAAAUUGUCCUUUUGCCUGGCCUUUAAACCAACUUGAGUUGUCAUGUAAACUCUAAAAAAGGGCAGCCCGGUGCACUAAAGCUCCCGCUAUGCUCAGGAUUCGGGGAAGGCCCUACCAAAAGGGCGUAUUGUUGUCAUGUAUACUCUCUUUUGGUUUCUUUGUGAUUAUGAGGAAAUAUAUGCUCACAGGGUGGUUAAUGCGGUUCGGUUUUUUACUCUACAAUGGAGGUCCAGAAUUCAUAAACUAAAAAAUUUGAAUCCGGCUGAUGUUUACAAUGGCAUAGAGUAGUAUGGAGAACCUUUGUAGCUCGAGCUAACACUACCAGAAUAUUGCAUUAGUAUGCGCAAUGCAUCCGAUCUUUGUACUUCAGUAAAGCUAGCGAGAGAGAUCCGUUACAAUUGGUUCUCUCUCGCAUAAAAUGUUAAACUUUCUUCAACAUUUCUCUAACAACUCUAUUGAGUUUCAAGUUAACAAUAAUGAAAUUUGCGUAAAUAGAGGAAGAAGAAGAAGGGAAAAAAUGGACUAUAUCGAUCAGACUCAUUCAAUUAUUCAAGUAAAGAUAAAUAAAGAAGGUAGAGGGGUUCUCCAUUAUAGAAAAUUUAAAUUUAAAGAUAAAUAAAGAAGGUAGAGGGGUUCUCCAUUAUAGAAAAUUUAAAUUUUGCCCCGCUACUACACGUAGACUUAACUACAUGAACCGACCUUUAGAGUUGGCUCGAACACUUGAGCCAACCUUAGGUAGGCGGUAGGCACCCUUCCAAAGUGCAACAAAAGUGACCAACCUUGUUUCAUAGUAUAAAACAUUACUAGAAUACACAAGAACAAUGUUUCAUAGUAUAAAACAUUACUAGAAUACACAAGAACAAUAAAAUGUUGAAACUAGAAUUGUUGGGGUACUCUAAUGAAAGAGAACACCUCCAAAAAUUGGCGUAUGCCAUUAAUUGCAGCGUGCACACGGUAUUCUUUAGUAAAAGGCGAAAGAAUAGUUCGCUUUGUGCCCACUGAGUGGCUGCGUGAGUUUUCACGCUAAUCGGUGCUUCCAUUUUAUAUUAGAACAAUGUUUGUAUCUAAUGUUUGUUUUAUUGAUGUGGUACUCCCCUCACUCUUUAAAACAUUGCUCUUAAUUGAAAAUCUAACAUGGUUUUCAAAUAGAAUGGACUUUAAGGGUAGCGUAUUCACGCCACACUUCUUGGGUUUUGCCCUUUCCCAGACCCUGCUACCGCUGAAUGCUAUGGACAUUGUGCAUCGUCCUGUCCUUAAAACGACUUAAUUUGUCAUGUAUACUCUCUUUCUAUUUGGUUUCUUUGUGAUUAUGAGGAAAUAUAUGCUCACAAGGUGGUCAAUGUCAUUGCAUAGGAUGUUUUCGUAUUGAAUAUAGCUGAAUUCGAAUGCGGGGUUCAGGUUUUAAGUGUAUAACGGAAGUCCAGAAUUCAUAAACUAAAAAUUUUGAAUUCGGCAUUUGCAUUAUUAGUAUGCAUAAUGCAACCGGUCCUUGUAUUUCAGUAAAGCUAGCGAGAGAGGAGCCGUUGCAGUUGGUUGUCUCUCGCGUAAAAUGUUAAUACUUUCUUCGAAGGGGAAAAUUGGAUCAUCGACAAGCUUUAUCACCGAGUUGUACUUGGGUUAAAGGUGUUGUGUAGAACCUGAUGUUAACAAAAUAUGCCUAAAAUUGUUGGAUGUGUUCGGUACCAAGGAAAACAUUUUUCAUGAGAAACAUUUUCCUUCAUAAUGAACACAUCCAUAAUGUUCACUCCUUAUGCUUAAUCUGAUCUUCCAUGUCUUGGCUAGUACGAGUGCAAUUCAACUAAUUCUACGAGGUACCCUAACUAGCAAGGGCGGAUCUAGAGUAGUAGGUGGGGGAAACCCAGUAACUUUCGUGGGAUUUUGUAUUUAUAUUGAAAAAUCUAGUGAACCUGAACUAAUUAAAAUCGUAUUUUUAGCAACCUUAGCCUACGUGGACCUUCAGUGUGUUGAUUCACUGAUGUGCCACGUAGGCAAUAAGAUUGUCAAUAGUUCAGAAUGGAAACAAAUCAUUUUUCCUAUAUAAAGAUUAAAUGUUUCAUUUUCCCUAUAACAUUGUUAGGCCUCUUGGUUGAGGGCUUUAGCCCGGUCACCUACUAUAUUUGAAUUUUAUUUUGCCCAAGUAACCCACAAAUUCUACAUCCAUCCCUGCUAACCAAAAAUCUUGGGAUGAUAUACAAAAGUUAAAAAGACAUGUCAAUAAAAUGUCGAAACUAGAAUUUUUGGGGUACUCUAAUAAAGAGAAACCCCUCCAAAAAUUGGCAUAUGCCACUAAUUACAGUGUGCACACAGUAUUCUUUAGUAAAAGGCAAAAGAAAAAUUUGCUUUGUGCUCACUGCGCGGCUGAGUGAGACCUGCUGUACAACUGUGCUGCAUUUUUAUAUCGUGGUAAAGUUUAUAAUUCCUCGUUGUUUAUUGAUGUGGUACGUACUCCCCUCACUCCUAUAUAACUGCUCUCUGCUUUAGUUUUAAUGAUUGAAAAUCUAUCAUGUUUUUCAUAUUUAAACGACUUAAGGGUAGAUUAUUUAGAUCACGGUCCAUGGAAUGCGGUCUUUUCCCAGACUAUGCUAAUGCAGGAUACUUUGUGCACCGUGCACCAGGUUAAGUUGUCUUGUAUACUAUCUUGUUCAGUUAAGAUAGUUUGGAGUUAUUAGGUGUCCGUCAAUGUAAUGGAGUGAUAUUGUUCGCUUUGGGUCAAACCUGCACGAUUUAUUCGAAAGAUUACUCUUAACAAAAUGCAUUGUCAUUUACCCAAAAGGUAAAGUUAAUAUGUGGUUAUUUCAGUCCUAUCAAUCACUCUUUAUGUUAUUUUAGGUUGAAGACUUCUUUUGUAUGCAAGUAUGUCUGAGUCGCUAGACGACUAGCAUUACUCAUCUUUUUCGAAGAUCUCAGGGCUUCUAACUAGUUUGGAUCUUCAAUGAUUGACGCGUCUGCCUGAAGGAGCCAUCAUCAUAUUCGACAGAAAGAACUUAAAAACAACUUUCAUGCAUGAUAGAGGAAGUAGAUAUAUACAAAAGUUACCUACGCAAGUCUACAUUUCACAGAGUAGAUCAAAAGGAAAUUUUGUUUUGAGAAUUGGGUAGUAGCCGCGUGAACGCAGGCCCCUGCUGCCACAAAUUAUGACGUAGGCUCGACCACUUGGGCCGACCUUAGUCAGGCACCCUUCCAAAGUGCAAUGGAAGUCACAAACCUAGGCCAUGGGCCUUAUUGAUCGCCCAUUGACCCCGUCCAGGUAAGUAUGUUUCUUGUUGCUCCUUCCGAUUAUCUUAUAUCCCUCCAGGUCCUUGUUUUCCUUUGUGGCAAAGAUACAAUCUUGCCAAGCUAUCUUCUCAUCGCUCGGAGAUUGAAAUUUUCAAGGGAAAGACUCAUGCUCAUUAUGCUUCUGAAGGGGAAUAUUUACUUGGUACUGUAAAAUUGUGAAUUCUAGUAUGAGCAAAUCAUGUAAUCCAGUUUUAGUGAGAAAAUGAAGUGUCUAGACAUAUGUUUAACUACAAUGUCAAAAGUGUGUGCUUAAUUACUGCUAAAGUUGUUCAACUUAUAGGGGUGAGUUCAUACUGAGGAAAACAUUUUUCAUGGAAAACACUUUCCUUUGCUUUUCGUUUUUCUCUUCAUACAAUCAUGCUUGUUUUGGCCGGUACGCGUGCACUUCAACUAAUUCUAUGAGAUAUCUUGCUACCUUUCACCAGCAUAGGGACAACAAUGUCACAACUCCCGACCAAGAACACCAAAGCAAGAACUACCAAAGCCCCCCCCCCUCAACUUCGAUAAACCCCCUCCUAAGCCGCGUUGGUAUAAAACAUUACUAAAUGGUGAAGUUAGAAAAUGUUGAAACUAAAUUGUUGGGGGUACUCAAAGAAGAGUAAUAGAGUCUGAAUCUAAGAUUUGAGCUAAAUCGGGGGCGUUUUGAACCAUCUACCAUUGUUGAGCUUGUAUUUGAACUAAAUCGGGGGGGCGUUUUGAACCAUCUACAAUUGUUGAGCUUGUGUUUGAAGAUAUUUGAGGAUGGAUCUCGUUUUGGCUAGUGUGGUUGUGACAAGAAUUUUGAAUUUUCUUGUUCACUCAUGAGGUAGAAAUUCAAUUUUGUGGAAGAAAAUGCAAGAUUUGGAGCCUUUUUCCAACUCAAAUUCAAACUAUUUGAGCUUGAAAAAGACUCCAAUCCUUGUAUUUUUUACCACAAAUCCCUAAUAAUUUCUACUUGAAAAAGACUCCAAUCCUUGUAUUUUUUACCACAAAUCCUAAUUUCUACAUGAAAAAGACUCCAAUCCUUGUAUUGCUCUCUGCUCCUUCCCAUUCUUAUUCAGUCCUUUAUAGUAAUUGAAAAUCUAACAUGCUUUUUCGAGUAGAAUGGACUUUAAGGGUGAUGUAUUUACGUCACACCCCUUGAGGUGCGGUCCUUUCCCAGACCCUCCUACCACGGGAUGCUUUGAACAUUGUGCAUUGGCCUCCUACCGCGUGAACAUUGUCAUGUAUACUCUUUGUGAUUACGAGGAAAUAUAUGCUCACAAGGUGGGUAACGCGGUUCGGUUUUUAAUUGUAUAAUGGAGGUCCAGAAUUCAUAAACUAAAAAUUUUGAAUCCGGCUGAUGUAUACAAUGGCAUAGAGUAGUAUGGAGAACCUUUGUAGCUCGAGCUAACGCUAUCAGAAUAUUGCAUUAGUAUGUGCAAUGCGUGUGAUCUUUGUACUUCAAGUAAAGCUAGGGAGAGAGAUCCGUUACAAUUGGUUCUCUCUCGCGUAAAAUGUUAAACUUUCUUCAACAACAUUUCUCUAACAACUCUAUUUUAUCGAAAUUCAAGUUAACUAUAAUGAAAUUUGUGUAAUAGAGGAAGAAGAAGCUGGAAAAAAAUGGAGUAUAUUGAUCAGACUGGUUUGUUUUGCAGCUCGGGAAGAAGGUUCGAUUAUUCAAGUAAAGAUAGAUAUAGAAGGGAGAGGGAUUCCAUUAUAGAAAAUUUUGCUUAAGCAUUGGGCAGGGGCUGCGCGAACACAGGCCCCUGCUACCACAAAUUAUGAUGUAGGCUCGACCACUUGGGCCAACCUUAGGCAGGCACCCUUCCAAAGUGCAAAGAAAGUCCCCAACCUAAGCCAAACUUGUUUCAUAGUAUAAUGUUUCAUAGUAUAAAACAAUACUAGAAGACACAAGAAAAAUAAAAUUUUGAAACUAAAAUUGUUGGGGUACUCUAAUGAAAGAGAACCCCUCCAAAAAUUCGUGUAUGCCACUAAUUGCAUCGUGCACAGUAUUCUUUAGUAAAAGGCGAAAGAAUAGUUCGCUUUGUGCUCACUGCGUGGCUGCAUGAGUUCAACUGCACAACUGUGCUGCAUUUUUAUAUAGUGAGCUCGUGACAAAGUUUGUAAUUCCUUGUUGUUUAUUGAUGUUGUUUUCUGCUUUAGUUUUUCCCCUUCUUGAUUGAAACAUAUUGAAACGACUUAAGAGUAGAUUAUCUAGAUCACGGUCCAUGGAAUGUGGUCCUUUCCUGGCCAUGCUAAUGCAGGAUACUUUGGGCACCGUGCAUCAGGUUAAGCUGUACUGGAUACUAUCUUGUUCAGCUAAUUUAAGAUGGUAUUGAGUUAUUAGGUGUCCGUCAAUGUAAUGGAGUGAUAUUGUUCUCUUUGGAUCAAACCUGCACGAUUUGUUCGAAAGAUACUCUAAACAAAAAUGCACCCAAAAACUAAAGUUAAUAUCUGGUUAUUUCAGUCUUAUCAGUCUUAUGUAUGAGUCGCUAGACGACUAGCAUCACUUAUCUUUUUCGAAGAUCUCAGGGCUUCCGAUUAGUUUGGAUCUUCAGAGCUUGACACGCCGGCCCUAAGGAAGGAUGUGCCCUAUUUUGUUAGAGUUUCACAUUAGUUGGGGAAUGUACAGGUUGUUUGCUUAUAUGAACUUGGAAAGUUCUUCCCACGUGAGCUAGUUUUUGGGGUUCUACGUGCCAUAUCUAUACAGUCCUCAAAACAACUCUAUUUUUUCGAGUUUCAAGCAAAUUUCUCAAACAAGGAAAUUUGUUUGAGAAUUGGAUAGGGGUCGCGUGAACGCAAGCCCCUGCUACCACAAAUUAUGACGUAGGCUCGAUCACUUGGGCCGACUUUAGGCAGGCACCCUUCCAAAGUGCAAUGGAAGUCGCCAACCUAGGCCAUGGGUCUUAUUGAUCGCCCAUUGACCCCGUCCAGGUGUUCCUUUUGUGUUUGCCGAUGAGGGACAUUUUGCCCAUGUUUUUUUUUUUGGUUUCCUUCAUGCCAAACACAUCCAUAGGGUUAUUUUCCUUUUCAUUUUUGCUUCAUACCAACUAUGGCGUCUUGGCCAACAUAUUUGCACUUCGACUAAUUCUAUAAGGCACUCAACUAAUUUAUCUUCAGUCCUCCCACAACUACGAUAAACUCCCCCCUGCAAAAUAAGCGCCAAUAGUUUUUUUUCUUUUUAAACGAUAAAAAGAUUGGUAGAAAUGGCAUAAUACAUGAUCAAAGUGCAAAUAUAUUGGCCAAGACACCACAAAAGACACGUGUGUCCGUGUUCAACUUUAUGAUAGUGAUGUGUUUGCGUGUUCAACUUUACAAUAGUUUGAGUGUCUGAUGUGCAUGUUAAAUGGCACAUUUAUGUAUUGCGAAGGAAGAAAUACUCCUGGCCAUAUUUUACUGCAUUUUUUGUUUUGCAGACAGAUUAUGCUCAUACAUGUGAUUAAAUUGCUGAAACUAGAAUUAUUGGGGUACUCUAAAGAAGAGAACCCCUCAAAAAAUUGGCAUAUGCCACUAAUUGCAGCGCGCACACGGUAUUCUUUAGUAAAAGGCGAAAGAAUAAUUCGCUUUGUGCUCACUGCGUGGCUGCGUGAGUUCAUCAACUUACAUCUGGCUGCCAUUUUAUAUUGCAGCAAAGUUUUUAUUACUGGUAGUUUAUCUAUGUGGUACGCGCACCUCACUCCCUUAAAAUAUUGCUCUCUACUUCUUCAAUAUAUCGUAGAUGACUGUAUAUCAAAAUGCUAUUUUUUCGAAAUAGUAACAGGCCUAAGCCGGCCUGUAUACUUUCUUGUUUGAUAAAUUCAAAAUAUGAUUUCGGUUUGGUUUGUGAUUGCGAGUAAAUAUAAUGUCGUAAGGAUGUUUUGGACCGAGCAUCUUUAGUAGCGGAAUUCCAAUACAAGUUCGAGUUUUAAGUGUAUACUGAAGGACCCAACAGGCAGAAGCCGAAAACAAAACAGUUAUCUGUUGUUUAGUUUAAAUUGACCUUAUAAUCUAUGUUGCUCGGACUGUCCAAAAAUGUUGUUAAAUCCGUACUGUCGGAUCCUCUCUAAAUGUUGAGUAGCGUGAAGAACCGUGAAAAAUGCAAAGAUACUCUCUAAAUGUUGGAUGACUGCGAAUGCUAGAGAGAAAGGAGCUGUUGCCGCAAUCUUCAGAAUGAGCAUUACAUCUGCAGUAUAUCACAUACGGAUUGAGAGAAAUCACAGGAUAUUCGAGGCCAAAACUACUGAUCCAUCCUCGAUUACCACGAAAACAGUGCAGAAGAUCUUUCACGAAGGGCUGCUUAGCGUCGUCUAGUUUCUUGAAUACUGUUGCUUUGAUGUCAUAGGAAGUCCAUUUUGUUUAACUGUUUGGUUGCUAUACCAGCACAGUUUUGAACGCGUUAUCAUUUAUGUAAAAAAUAAAGCUAAUAUCUGGUCGUUUGAGGUGGUAUGAUAGCGCACCCAGUCUCAUCAAUCGCUAUAUGUGUUAGUUAAGGUAGGAAACUUCUUCGGUAUGCUAGCAUGUCGAAGAUUAAUAAGGACACGUGCAUCUCACGCGAUUUGCCAACACAUGUGUCUGCUUGUUCAACUUUACGAUAGAUUUAAUAUGUCGUAGGACACAUGCAUCUCACCCAAUUUGCCAACACAUGUGCCUGCUUGUGCAACUUCACGAUAGUUUAGGUGUCUAUCGUGCAUUACAACACCACAUUUUAUUGCAUUAUUUGUUUUGCAGACUGAAUUUUGCUCACACAAACUAAUAAAAGAUGUUGAAACUAGAAUUGUUGGGGUACUCUAAAGAAGAGAAACCCCUCCAAAAGUUGGCGUAUGCCACUAAAUGCAGCGCACACACGGUAUUCUUUAGUAAAAGGCGAAAGGAUAGCUCGCUCUGUGCCCACUGCGUGGCUGCGUGAGCUUAUCAACUUCCAUCUUCUGCCAUUUUACAUAUGCAACAGAGUUUGUAUUCUUUUUGCUUAUCAAUGUGGUACACACACCUCGCUCUUUUAAUAUAUUGAUCUCAGCUUCUUCAAUACUACAUCGUAAAUGAUUAAAGGGCAGCUCGGUGCACUAAAGCUACCGCUAUGCACGGUGUCCAGGGAAGGGUCCCACCACAAGGGUGUAUGUAUGUAGCCUUACCUUGCAUUUCUGCCACAGGCUGUUUCCAAUCGUAAAUGAUUGAAUAUCAAAAAUGUUGCUUUGUAUUCAAAUAGAAACAGACUUAAGCCGCCCUGCAUAUUUUCUUGUUUGAUAAAUUUAAAAUAUGAUUUCGAUUUGGUUUGUGAUUGCAAUGUAAUGUCGUGAGGACAUUUUGGACCGACCAUCUUUAAUAGCGGAAUUCCAAUACAAGUUCGACUUUUAAGUGUAUACUGAAGGACCAAACAGGCAGAAACAGAAAACAAAGGAGUUGUCUGUUGUUUUCUUCUAAGUUGUGCUUCUAACCUAUGUUGCUCGGACUGUCCAAAAAUGUUGUUAAAUCUGUACUGCCGGAUCCUCUAAAUGUUGAGUAACGUGAAGAACCUUGUAUCUCGGAGCUAAGAUUUUGACCCAACGUAAGCUGGUGAUGCGUUUGCAUCACUCCCCGGAAGAAGUCCAUGGGGAGUUGAUAAGAACAAAAAGCGUUUAUUGGUUGUCCGCCAGUGUGAUAUCAGUAUGUUGUUGGUCAAAGAGACGUACAUUGCAAUGAGGGGCCACUUUGAAAAGGUUCCCUGGAGAAGGAUCGUUCGCAAUAAUCCUGGAUCGCCUGAAUGGAUUUUCAUUACAAGACUAGCUUCUCCGAGAAGACUACAACACUAAGAAUAGGUUAAUGUAACGAAGAAUCAUAGAUAACCGGAAGUGUGUUUUGUGCAGUGGGGGAAUUUAGUCGGCCAGAGACUACUCCUACGAUGGCAAGGUAUAAGCAGACGAGCAAAGUCAUGGAAGACGAGUUGGAUUGGAUGAUUACGAAUGCUUGUCACAGUCUGCAUUAUAUCACAUACGGAUUGAGAGAAAUCACAGGAUAUCGAGGCCAAAACUAUUGAUCCAUCCUUGAUUACCACGAAAACACUGCAGAAGAUCUUUCACAAAGGAGCUGCUUAGCGUCGUCUAGUUUCUUGAAUAUUGUUGCUUUGAUGUCAUAGGGAGUUCAUUGCUUUGAACGCGUUAUCAUUUAUGCCAAAAAUAAAGCUAAUAUCUGGUCGUUUUGAGGUGGUGUGUUGUUGCAUCCGGUCUUAUCAAUCGAUAUAUGUGUUAGUUAAGGUAGGAAACUUCUUCAGUAUGUUAGCAUGUCUGAGUCACUAGACGACAUGCACCGCUCAUCUUUAGAGGAUCUCACGGCUUUCGUCCCAUGGAUCCAUCAUCAUUAUCGACUCUAUUGAUAGACUUGUUGGUUUUGCUGCUCGCUCGGACAGAUUUCUCAGAGUUGCCAAUUGCUUUUGUGAGCCCAAAUUGUGAAGGAUACAAUCAGUGGCGGAGACAACAUAUUAACUAACGGGAUUCAAAAUCAAAAAAUGUGAACAAAAGAACUAGUCGAAGGGAGUUCAGCUCGGACAGAUUCCUCAAAGUUACCAAUUGCUUUUAUGAGUCUAAAUUGUCAAGGAUACAAUCAGUGGCGGAGCCGACAUCUUAACUAAAGGGAUUCAAAAUCGAAAAAUGUGAAUAAAAGAACUAGUCGAAGGGAGUUCAGCUCGGACAGAUUCCUCAAAGUUACCAAUUGCUUUUGUGAGUCUAAAUUGUCAAGGAUACAAUCAGUGGCGGAGCCAACAUCUUAACUAAUGUGAAUAAAAGAACUAGUCGAAGGGAGUUCAGCUCGGACAGAUUCCUCAAAGUUACCAAUUGCUUUUGUGAGUCUAAAUUGUGAAGGAUACAAUCAGUGGCGGAGCCAACAUCUUAACUAAAGGGAUUCAAAAUCGAAAAAUGUGAACAAAAGAACUAGUCGAACGGAGUUCAGCUCGGACAGAUUUCUCAAAGUUACCAAUUGCUUUUGUGAGUCUAAAUUGUGAAUGAUACAAUCAGUGGCGGAGACAACAUCUUAACUAACGAGAUUCAAAAUCAAAAAAUAUGAACAAAAGAACUAGUCGAAGGGAGUUCAGCUCUGACAAAUUUCUCAAAGUUACCAAUUGCUUUUGUGAGUCUAAAUUGUGAAGGAUACAAUCAAUGGCGGAGCCAACAUCUUAACUAAGGGGAUUCAAAAUCGAAAAAUGUGAACCAAAAGAACUAGUCGAAGGGGGUUCAACGUCUACUAUAUAGUAUAAAUAGUAUAAUUUUCCGCUGAAUGAACCCCCUAAAAUAGUAUAAUUUUCCGCUGAAUGGGGUUCGGGAUGAACCCCCUCACUAUUAGCAAGUUCCGCCCCUGAAUACAAUUAUAUGUUACAAGUAUGAACCCCUUCAUUAUCAGGAGGUUCCACCCCGAUACAAUUAUUUGUUACAAGUACAUUAAUAUAUGAACAAAUAAAGGAACUGCUAUAACCAAACAAAAGGAUGAAUCUAGAAUUGUUGGGAUUACUCUAACGAAGAGAACCCUCCAAAAAUUGGCGUAUGCCACUAGUUGCAGCGCACACACGGUAUUCUUUAGUAAAAGGCGAAAGAAUAGUUCGCUUUGUGCUCACUGCGUGGCUGCGUGAGUUGUUUUGAUGAUCGGCGCUUCCGUUUUAUAUGGGACAAGGUCUGUAUUUACUGUUGUUUUAUCGAUGUGGUACACUUUCUCGUUCAAUUAAUUGUUGAAUUUGGAUUAGUAGCAGAGUCAGAAUAGAAAGAAAUGAACACACAAAGCAUCGCAUCCAAUUGGGAAUUCAACGUCUAUUUAUGGUAAAAAAGUAUAAUUUUAACAUGAUGAAGGAGGUUCGAUGAAUCCCAUGCACCCGUAGUUAGAACUUGUCAAAGGUUUCUAGACAUUAUUGUCAAUUCCUAUGACUCGACAUCCACUGUACGGAUGUGUGUUGGACCUUCUAAAAGUUGUGUAUUCCCCCGUUUUUCAUAAGUGGGAAGAUGUUCUCUUGAUGGCGCGGUUUCACCCAUUUCUCACAUGUGGUGAAGAUGUUCUCUUGAUGGCGCGAUCACUGGCCAUUAAUCUAAAAGAUUAAUUAUAAUCUGCGAGUUGAAUUUUUUUUAUGAGGUGAACGUCACGUGAUAUGUCAGAAUAAAAUCACACAUUUUUUUUAAGUGUAGAAAUAUGUUACGUUUAGUUUCAGAAGUUGUUGCACACACUAUAUUCAUGUUCAUAAACUUCUAUUUAACCUUUCAUCAUUAUUUAAGUAUUUCAUAAUAAAUAUAAAAAAGUUUAUAAGUUGAAAUUUUUAUAGAAUCACUUUUUCAGUUUAUAAACAUUUUUUAUUUGAUCAAGUAUUUAUUAUUUUAUUCAUAAUAUUCUUUCUAAUUUUCAAAAAUAUCAUUUUUCAAAAUAAAACUUUGACCUUUUCACUCUGUAUUCUUUUUUUUUUUUCAAAGAUAGAUUUCAUAUUUAUAAUUUGUUGCAACAAAAGUAAGGAAAUUUUAGUCAUUUUAACAAAAGAAUGAUUUAUCAAAAUAUUUUUACCAAACACAUCAACAGUUGUUUUAAUAUUUCUAUUCAAAUACAUGAUUGUUUAUUAUAUAAAUCAAUUUAAAUGCUCAAAUUUAUUUUUCAGCACUCAAUACUCAUCUUUAUCAAUUUACAUUUAUAUUAAUAUAUCAAUAUAUAAAAAAAUAUAUCUUAAAAUAUUAAUCGAAGUUUAUAUAUGUUUAUUGUAGAAAAAAAAAAUAUGUAAACGUUUUGAAAUGAUGGGAGUAUCUUUAAGGGUACACAUCAUAUGUUUGUUGAAUUUAAUGUAACACCAUGUCUGAUAAAUUAUUCUUCAUUGGAUUAAAAGAUAAAAAGAAAUUUAUUUCUACUAAUAUUCUCAAAACUUCAUGGAAUUAAAAUUAGCAAUAAAACAAAAUAGGAGUACUAAAUUAACUAUAUCAAUAUAUUACUGUCAAUAGACUAUCAAUAUUAAGAAUGCUACAUUGUUUUCCUUAAACUUCAUUUCUAAAAUUACACUAAAUAUAUUUUCAUUAGACAUUUAGUUCAAGAUAAAAACAAUCCUAAGAGCUAAUUGAAAUAUAAAAAAUAAUAGAUAAUAAUAAAAUAAUAAAUUAUAACAUAUCAAAAAUUACCACAAAAUAAUAUUACAAUCGAUCUACAUAGAACAAACCACCAAUCUCCUAGUACGAACAACAAGACAAAGUACUCAUACCUUCUACUAUUAACGCACUCCAGCCCCUUAACUUCUAGCUUAAUUCGAGUCCUCCACAUCUUACCAUCUAGGAUCAUAUCCUCGGUAAAUCAUAACUGCUUCGUCUAAUCACCUCUACCUAAUAUUUCUUUAUUUUACCUCUACCGCUUCUGAAUCCUUCAAUAUCCAACUUCUCAUACUGCGUUGGAGCACCCAUACAUCUCCUCAUCACUUGUCUGAACCAUUACAACAUCGCAUCCCACAUCUUAUCCUCAAAUAAAGUCACUCCUACUAUGUCUCAUAUAUCCCAAAUUUCUAAUCCCAUCUCUGCUAGUCGACCCACACGUCCAUCGCAUCAUUCUCAUCUCCGCCACAUCAUCCUCUGAAUGUGAGAGGUCUUGACUGACCCACACCACAUCAUACCUACUAUCAUUGACGCACUCCUACCUCAUAACUUCUAGCCUAAUCCGCAUCCUCCGCAUCUUUCUAUCUAGGAUCAUAUCCUUGGUAAGUUAUAACCGCUUCAUAUCCUGUUUAAUCAUCUCUACCUCUACUAUUUUUGAAUCCAUCAACGUCCAACUUCUCACUCUGCGUUGGAGCAACUAUGCAUCUCCUCGUCACUUGUCUGAAUCAUUUCAACAUUGUUUCCCGCAUUUUACCCUCUACUGAAGUCACUCUUACAUCUCAGAUAUCUCAAAAUUCUAAUCUCAUCUCUACUAGGCAACCCACGCAUCUAUCGCAUCAUUCUCAUCUCUGCUACAUCAUCCUCUGAAUGUGAAAGGUCUUAAUUGACCAACGCCCCAUUCCACCCUAUCUUCUCCGUAUUAUGGAAUUUUCCUUUUAAAAUAUAUAUAACAACGACAAGAGUAUACUCAAUGUAGUCCCAUAAAAUGAAAUAGAGAAAUUAUUUUUGAUAGACUUCCGACUCAAAAUACACAUCAAAAUCAAAUAAAUAAAAAUAAUAAUAAAUAUUUCUUAUUUUUUAACUUGAAUUGUCAAGUUUAAACUCUAAAUAUAUAAAAUCAUAUUUUGUAAAAAAGAUGUUCUACUGUUCAAAUUUUUGACUUCUCGACUACGAAUCAUAGUUAGUCAAAUCCAAAAAUAAUACUUUCUCCGUCCUAUUUUAUAAAUCAUCAUUUUCUUUUUAAUUCGUCUCAAAAGAAAUGUCAAUUUUCCUUAUUUGAUAAUUAUUUAAAGAUACAAUUCUACUUUUAUAUUUAUUAACCUCACUUAAUUAUUUUUAAAAAAAUGGAAGUACAUUUUUUAAUAAAGAACAAUUUGAUAAAUAUUAUUAAGUCUUUUUUUAUUUUUUAAAUUUUAUAUCUAAUUAAAUGACGAUAUAUAAAAUAGGACGGAGGAAAUACUAAAUAUUUACACAAUUUUUAUAGUGUGAGGACAAAAAUAAGCAUUUAUGAAAACGAACAUAAAAAAGGAUAUUUUGUUAUUAUAAAAUAUAGUUGCACUUUAUUAUUAUUCACACAUUUUUUCACAUUUUAUAUAUUACGUGAUCCCCAAGCAACCACCAUUACACUCAACCAAUAAAGCAUCUGGAAGCUACUCUGUCUUGUUCAAUAACAAUAUUUUAUUCUUGAAUUACCCCCACCGCCUUAUUUUAUUUACUGUUCUACCCUUGCUUUUUUCUUUUGGGAAUUUGUGAAAAGAAUUGACUUUUGAUGUUUUAGUUGUGGAGUUUUGAGAAAAUAGCUCAUUUUUUCCCUUUUUUUUUUUUUUGAUGUUUCAGUUGUUGGAUUUGUGGAAUUUGAGAAAAGAAUCAAUUUUUGCCUUCGUUUUUGAAGUUUUCACUUGUUGGAUUUGCUGGGAAUUGACGUUUUAGUGGUUGAAAUUUGAGAAACGAAUCAAUUAUCUUUUUUUUUUUUUAAUUUUAGUUGCCGGAGUUAUAGAAAAUAGCUCAAUUUCCUCUCCUGUUCAGUGUUUUUCAAGUGUUGGGUUCACCGAAAAUAGCUCAAUUUCCUCUCCUGUUCAGUAUUUUUCAAGUGUUGGGUUCGCCGAAAAUUAGCUCAAUUUCCCCCCUUUUGCAUUUUACCUUGUUGGGUUUUGCCGGAAAUCGCCCCAUCAGUUGACGGAAUUUGACCAAAAUAUCAAUUUCUACUUGUUGGGUGCGACGGAAAAUUGAUAUUUUAUCUGCCGGAGUUUGUAAAAACAGCUCAAUUUCCCUAUGUUUGCAUUCUCCCUUAUUUGGUUAGCCGGGAAUUGACCUGUCAGUUGCCGGAAUUUGAGAAAAAAAACAAUUUUCACUCAUUGGGUUCACCUGAAAUUGACUUAUUCGACGGAGAAAUGGUGGAAGGCGGUGCAGGACCAGAAUUUCCGGUAGUAUUUUACGACGGAGAAAGAGAGAUGAACAUCGGAAGUAUCCAUAUAUACCCUUUACUACAAUUCAAAGCUUUUCAAUUAAUGCUAAGUCAAAGAAUCGGAAUUUCACCGAACCAAAUUUCAAUUUACUUAUGUGAUCGGAAAAUGAACUCGAAAUUGGAAGAUCGACGGAGAAUUCCCGUCACCGGCAAGGCUAAUUUCGGUAUAAUUUGUCGGGAGAAAGAUUGCUUCUUUCUUGUGGUUCUAAAACGAUCGCGGAAAUCGAGGAAUCGGAAAGCAGCAGCUCGACGGGUCGACCCGGAAAUGAAUCAGUUUGGGUUCGGGUUUGAUUCCGGGUCGUUGUAUUAUGAUCAAAUUAUGUUUGAAUUGGGCUAUCUGAACCCGUACCCGGAUCCUUUUUUGAUUAUGACGAAAAAUGAGUGUGAGCAAUGCAAGGGCAAAAUUGGAAAUGAAAAAGUUUCGGGCUUUCAUCACUGUGUAAAUGACCCGGUUAUUGUUGGUGCGUGGCGGAGCCGGUUUGGACCGGUUGGUGGGCCGGUUUUUUGAGUGAAUCGGGUUUUUUCGUUUUUUUGGGGGCUUUUUGGUUAAGCCAUUGGAGUUUAAUUGUACAAAUUUGGUGUAUUGUGGUAUACCGUGUUGCUCAGACUCUUCAAAAUAGUCAUCGGGCUGGAUUCGUUGGAGAUAGUGUUUUUUCUUCAGAAUUUGAUUGAUAUGGGGUGAUAUCGAGAUGUUGAUUGUUGGAAUCGCCAAAGAUAAUGUAUUCCUGAAGAAUUUGAUACAAAUGCAACAUCGAGACGGCUGGUUGUUGGAAUUGUCAAAGAUAGUGUUUUUUUGGAUCGAGACAAUUGGUUGUUGGAAUUACUACCAAUUUUUGGAACAUUUGAUACGGGUGCGACAUCGAGACAGCUGGUUGUUGUUGGAAUCGUCAAAGAUAGUGUAUUUUUGAAGAUUUCGAUAUGAAUGCGAUAUCGAAAGUGGAAAGUGAAUGCAAGUUAGGAGGGUACUAUAGUUUUAGUUGUAUAAUUAGCCUUAAUAUAAACUAUAUUGAGGCAAAGUUUAAUUAGGGAAAUGAAGAUGAUUAUAUUAGUAGUAGGAAAUUAGAGAUUAUUAUUAGGGAAGUUUAAGAGUUUUAGAGUGGUUAAUGAUGGGGUUUGUCAUUGAAUAAUUUUUUUUUGAAAUAUAGAUUUUUAGGGAUAUUAUUCCCCUAUAAUGGGUUAUUUUGGGAUUUUUUUUGGAGAUGGAGUUUGAAGAAAAUUGUAAAUGGAGAUUUUUCCAUUAUCCAUAAAUAGUUUGAAUUGAUUUUGAAAUGCAAUUAUCUCACUUAUUGUGUGUGAUUAAUGUGAUUGUAUUUUUCUUAUUUUUUUAUUUUUUUUUAAAUUGAGCGAAUAUUAUUGAAUAUCUACUUUUAAAUACUAUACAAGUGAAGGCGGACGAUGAUGAUGAUAAUUAAAGUAUAAUAGUCGAGUUAGUAAAUAGUGUUUUAUCAAGUUCUAGCAUUCCUAUACUAGAAGGAUCAAUAUAUUAUGUGACAGAUGUUGUUAAAAAGGAAUCGACAUUGAUGUUGUUAAAAAGAAAUCGACAUAUUACGUGAUUAAUUUUGUUAACAUAUUACAUGACUGAUGUUGUUAAGAAGGAA
rnacentral:lncRNA from 1 species